rnacentral:rRNA from 1 species
UACGGAGGGAGCCAGCGUUGUUCGGAAUUACUGGGCGUAAAGAGCACGUAGGCGGUUACUCAAGUCAGUGGUGAAAGCCCGGGGCUCAACUCCGGAACUGCCUGUGAAACUAGCUAACUAGAAGCUUGGAGAGGCGAGUGGAAUUCCGAGUGUAGAGGUGAAAUUCGUAGAUAUUCGGAAGAACACCAGUGGCGAAGGCGGCUCGCUGGACAAGUAUUGACGCUGAGGUGCGAAAGCGUGGGGAGCAAACAGG